rnacentral:rRNA from 1 species
GGGAAAAGCUCAAAUUUAAAAUCUGGCAGUUUUUAAUUGUCCGAGUUGUAAUUUGUAGAGGAUGUUUUGGGUACCGCCACGGUUUAAUUUUCUUGGAACAGGAAGCCAAAGAGGGUGAGAGUCCCGUCUUGGACCGCGGUAGGGCUCGUGUAAAACUCCUUCGAC